GGAUUUUUUAAUCUUAGUCAAUUGUUUGGGUUCAUCAAAUUUGUUGAAAAUGGCAAGAUCCCAAGGGAUUUAUUUGUUACCAGAUUAUAGAAUGGGACAAUUUAUUUUAUCUGCAACACAGUGUUAACACAAACACUUACAAGUUUAAGGAAGAGAUUUUGCAAGUGGGAGCUGGCUUUGAAAAAUUGUGGAGAAAACUUUUAUAGCAAGAUAUCAGCUGACAUGGUGGAGUAAAAAGAAAAGCAGGUAUGAGAGGUCAACUAAUAAUAAGAAAGUCAAAAGGUGUGAGCUGACGGGUUCCUAAAUCAAGCUCGAGGUAUGUUAAUAUGGCAAGCUCAAUAUGUGAUGAGUCUUUGUGGAAGGUGAUAUAGAUGUUGAUUUAGUUCAACAUCAAGAACCCAUUGUAAAAUCUUUUCAUAUUUGGAAUCAACGUCAAUGUUGUUUUGCUUGGUCUUGGGGUCACAUGCUCCACACAAGGUGAUUAUAGAGUAG
rnacentral:lncRNA from 1 species